GUGUCUCGUCAGCUUCAAUCCUUUCUUCUCCUUGACCAAGUAAUCAUCUUUGGAUGGCUUCUCGCUCUGCCCUCUCUGGAAGUACCUGAAAUACGUAGGCCUCAGUGCCCUUCUCCUACUCUCAUCCACAUCGCUUAUCAGACUCCAGAGAUUCAAACUUUUCUUCUGUCCUCCAACAACAUCUCUCACCUUCUUCUUACCGGCAAACACCAUGCCAUUAGACCCUCCGAUUACCCGAGUGGAACCAUCGGGGGAAAGGCCAAGAGACAUGAGAGGAGCAGGAAACCUCAUAGAGUAAGUCACCUUUGCUCUCCCGUAAUCGAAGACUUUCAUGUAUCCGUCCAAAGCAACGCUCACAAGUCGACUCUCAGCCGAUUCCAUUCUCGCAACGCGGAGAGACGUGACGGUCUUGUUGUGACUCUCCAUGGAGCAAACCAUCUUCCCGCCUCCGAUCAAAUCCCAUACCUUGACGCUGUUGCCACCAGCGGUUGCGAUCAAUCCACCGGAAGGCAGGUAUACGACGUCCUCCACUGGGAGUCCGUGGUUGAUCUCGGCA